rnacentral:lncRNA from 1 species
UUCUGAUGUGGCAACGUUGGUCAAUCGCAGUCCACCACAUGGCAUCCUCUUUUACCUCUUUUUAUUUUAUUUUAUUUUUUAUUUCCUUCUUCCUUUUUUUCUUUUUUUUCUUUUUCUAGGCCUAAUUCCACCCUUCUUCAUCUUUCUUCUGUCAACCCCCCAAAAUUUCCCUCACUUUCUCACCAUCCAAGCACAACCAAAAUCACAUCUCUUAAACCCCUUUCGUUUUCUUCCCCAGCCACCAUCAGUCAACCCCCACCUCUUAAAUUUUAACUUCAUAUCUAUUAUAUCCUCAAUAAUUUUUUAUUUUAUUUUUCAGUUUAUUUUAUAAUUCAAUGGUGGCCGAUGAGUUUCCCGUACAAGACAUGAGCUUUUACGAUACUAU